rnacentral:rRNA from 1 species
UGGGGAAUAUUGGGCAAUGGGCGCAAGCCUGACCCAGCAACGCCGCGUGAGGGAAGAAUGUCUUCGGAUUGUAAACCUCUGUCCUUGGGGACGAGAAAAAUGACGGUACCAAGGAGGAAGCUCCGGCUAACUACGUGCCAGCAGCCGCGGUAAUACGUAGGGAGCAAGCGUUGUCCGGAAUUACUGGGCGUAAAGGGUGCGUAGGCGGCAUGGCAAGUCAGAUGUGAAAUCCCCGGGCUUAACUCGGGUGGUGCAUUUGAAACUGCCAAGCUUGAGUGCAGGAGAGGAAAGCGGAAUUCCUAGUGUAGCGGUGAAAUGCGUAGAUAUUAGGAGGAACACCAGUGGCGAAGGCGGCUUUCUGGACUGUAACUGACGCUGAGGCACGAAAGCGUGGGGAGCAAACA